GACAGAGGCCCCAAGCGUUAGGCGGAAUCACUGGGCUUAAAGCGUGUGUAGGCGGACGCCUAAGUGUCUUGUGAAAUCCCACGGCUCACCCGUGGAACUGCUGGGCAUACUGGGCGUCUUGGGCCAACUAGGGGCAGCCGGAACAAGCGGUGGAGCGGUGAAAUGCGUAGAUAUCGCUUGGAACGCCGAAGGUGAAAACAGGCUGCUGGGGUUGCGCCGACGCUGAGACACGAAAGCGUGGGGAGCGAACAGG
rnacentral:rRNA from 1 species